GUUGCGGGCAUUGCCUGAGUGUGUGACUUCUCUCUGUGCUUGCAGGUUUUGCGGGAAGUUGUGGAGAGAAGCAGCUGAGUGCUGAGAAGAGCCUGAGCAGGUCUGCUGUGGGCCUUUCCCAGGCGUGGCUGAGACUUUCAGGCGCCACGGGCUUCCCCCCAGGCAGGAUGUUGGCGUUUGGAGUUGUUGCGGUGCAGAUGAUGAAGGCAAAUGUGGUGAGCAAAAGAAGAUCAGAGGGUGUGGCUGCUGCAGAGGAUGUGUCUGCUGUUGAGGAUGCCUCUUGAGGAGCAACAGUGAUGCAGAGCACUGCAAAAGUGAAGUGCAUGGGCAAAGGGUGUUGCAGGGUGUGUGUGUGUGUGUGUUGGUGUGUGUGAGGCAGAGGCAGUGGGGUGUGCAUGGCAGAAAGUGAGGGUGGGUGUCAGGCAGGGCAGCUCCAGCCUGUGUCUGUGUUGUUGUGUAGUGUAUGUGGUGUGUGUUGUAGCUGUGCUAUCUUUUGCUCAGGUCUUGAUGUUGCCCUUGCUCUUUGUGCUCAAGGAGCACAGCAUAUGCUUUGUAGUGCUAGUGCAACAGGCAUCUGCUGUCUUUUGUCUGGUCUUGACCGACUCAUCUGUGUUGCUCCAAUGAUCAUCUUGUUCUGUGCAGGCAGCUGAAAGCAGCAGUCUGUCACUGUGAUUCUGCAUUGUUUCUGGCCAAUCAUCUUGGCAGCCAUCAUUCAGGUCUUGUUGGUCGUGUGUUUUCUGAGGCCUCUCUUAUUUUGCAUCCUCCUGGUGCCCUUUCAGGGUUUUCUUCCCUGUGUCAUCAGAGCCUCGGGUCUUUCUUGCCGGCCUCUUCUGCAUGGCCGUUCCUCGC